rnacentral:lncRNA from 1 species
UUGGACUAUCUUUUUGUAUUAUUUAUGCCCAUUCUAUUUGAAAAAGGAUUUGUGGCAGCUAUUAAAUCAUACGCUUCAUUAUCUUUAAUAAAUCACUUUGGUAGAAUAGACAGUGGCUUAUUGUACAGAUGGUUAGUUUCUAUGAGAAAUGUUUAAAAUAUGCAUCUUCUUGGACUCACAUUGAAUGCUAUUUUAUGUUCAUAACAUUUGUAAAAUGAUAGGGCACUUUAAGAAGUAUACUAGUGUACAUACUAGUCAGUUCAUAAUUUUAAAAACAAACAGUGAAGAGUAGAUGGCUUCCAAACAUUUUUAAAAGUACAUUACUUAAAAGUAAUGCUCCCGUGAUUAGCAUUUCUUCAGUCAAAUGUGGUAAGAUCUGCUACCUUUGUUGACUGGGGAAACAUUUCAAAAUCUUCUUUAGACACAGAGAAGUGCAGUAGGGCUUUUAAGUUGUAAUGUUCCUGUUCUUGGCCAUUAACUUGAAGAAAAACAAUGUAGCAAGCAGAGGCUGUCUUUCAUCUAUAUACCCAUACCAAUGUGGUGUUUCUUAUGGGAAGAAGACCAGAAAUAAGUGGCCUCCUAAGCAUGUUUCUCUGCCCCCAUUUAGAAUAUUUAUGCUCUAAAGUGAAGCAUCACACAUAUCCCUAUAAGUGCAGGUAAAGACUAAGAGCCCUGGGGGCAACAUAUUGGGGUUUUGUCAUGGUAAGGGUCAUUUCUCAGAUACUAAAUAGGAAAUUUUCUAAACAUUAUAAAAAAGAACAUUAAACUAAAUUUCACACAUUUUUGCUAAGGACCUAAGAUGCCAAAACCUCAAGAUUCCCCAGUUGACUCCCUGGAGCUCCAGACUAGUCGUCUCCUUAUUAACACAAUCCCGGUUGUUCUGACAGCCAUAGAGCCCCGGCCCAUGCACUGCAGCCUUGGGAGGAAUCUGCCAGAGUCUAGCGUCUUCUCAUCGGUACUCAUGGGAAGCAACAGCAGACAGAUCUUCUUGUUCCUAAUUAUCUAAUUUAAGAAGCCAAGUUUCCUUAUUACUUAAUUAAAUUUAAAUGUAAUUAAGAGCUCAGUUGUGCUAGCUACAUUUCAAGUGGCCAAACCCCACGCAUAGCUAGUGACCAUGUAGAGGAGCUCUGGCGCAGAGGUUUCCAUUGUUUCACGAAGCCCUGUUGGAUAACACUGGUCCACUUGACUUCUGAAACACCAUUUGAUCCUUUCACGGUUGCAGUGUAAUAAAGUAAAGGGCUACCCUUUAUAUGCUUAGGGUACCCAGUGAUCUUAUUAGCAAGAAAUGUACCAGCCAGAUGGGAGUGAAAGAUAGCGUGGUUCUGAAAUACAUUUAUUCUUGGGGAGAGUGAGUUGAUAGCAGAUUUUGUGCUUUUUGUCUAAUGAGUACAAGUUCUGAUUUUGUCCUAGCUUAAUGUGGAGAAGUAGACUUCUGUGGAGAGUUAAUAAGGAAACAGAUUGAGCAUCACCAGGCUCACAUCUCUCAGAUUUCCAGGGAAGCCUCUUUGCUGCUUUCCAGGUGAUCUUUGUCUGUCUGUAACUAUAUGGGUGGGAUUAAGGAAUGGUAAUGGAAUUGAAAGAGGAGGCUCAGCGUGAUGAUUUUAUAGUUUAACCUUCAUACAGGAAGCCCUGUGAGAGAAAGGGUUGCCUCUCGUGGGACAGCGAGUUGGGCUGGCCUAUACAAAGUGGAUAGGUUUGCUAUCCUAAAUCCCACCUGCAGAGAGGAGCAGCUGUAUCAGGGGGUGGAGGAGCUGGGCCAGAGGGAGGUGUGUGAACCCUCUGAGCCUUCGGCUUGGCAGCUUUCCUGAUGCCCUUUUGCUUUAUUAUAGUGCUUUUAAAUUUUGUCAGCGAUCAAGCCAAUCCAGUGUCACAUGUAAUUAAUGCUGACAAGCACAUAUCAGAACAACCUGUUAGACAUUUCUGAAAGAAGUCUGGGGGUUGAUAUGUGACUUGAAGGCUCCACCCCUGACAAUCUGUUGGCUAUGAGAAGCAGGGAGAGAGAUGGGUCUAGACUAGUUGCUUAACCCUUACUUCUCCAAUCCCGAGAUUCCCUAGGCAAGGGUUUAAAGGCUCAGUUCCAGAUUUCUGCAGAGCCAUCAAAUAGAAGAGCUGAGAGGAGCGGAAUGAUCCAUGGCUUACUAUAACUCCUGGAAGCAUCACCUUUUAACUCAGUCUUUCUCCUAGCCACAGAACCCAAGAGAAUCCUUCACAUGCCUUUCUCUUUUCCUUCCUUACCACUGUGAGCUUCUGAGGCUCUCCCCAGAAUGGAAAGGACCACAGGAAAGGGCUUUACAUAUUGCAGGUAGAGGGUUUUUGUUUUUGUUUUUGUUUUUCUCCUCAUCCCUACUGUUUAUCAAGAGGUUAUUUUGUUUUAUGUUGUUUAGAAGGCAUAUUUAUGUAGCAGCUAGUGAGGAGAAGGUAUUUAAAACUCAGUUCUCAGACUUUGUGGGCAUUUACCUAACAUUUUUUUUUUUUAUUUUAGUUAAGAUAAACCAAAAUAGUGUUCUGAGAGGUUAAGAUUUUUUUUAAUGGUGAUUCAUAAUGGAUAUCAUUAGUCUGUAUUUAGCGGUGAUUUUACCUUAAGCAAUGCACAAAGGCUUUUGUUGAGAUAGUCUUUCUUUC